GACGAACGCUGGCGGCGUGCCUAAUACAUGCAAGUCGAACGCUUCUUUCCUCCCGAGUGCUUGCACUCAAUUGGAAAGAGGAGUGGCGGACGGGUGAGUAACACGUGGGUAACCUACCCAUCAGAGGGGGAUAACACUUGGAAACAGGUGCUAAUACCGCAUAACAGUUUAUGCCGCAUGGCAUAAGAGUGAAAGGCGCUUUCGGGUGUCGCUGAUGGAUGGACCCGCGGUGCAUUAGCUAGUUGGUGAGGUAACGGCUCACCAAGGCCACGAUGCAUAGCCGACCUGAGAGGGUGAUCGGCCACACUGGGACUGAGACACGGCCCAGACUCCUACGGGAGGCAGCAGUAGGGAAUCUUCGGCAAUGGACGAAAGUCUGACCGAGCAACGCCGCGUGAGUGAAGAAGGUUUUCGGAUCGUAAAACUCUGUUGUUAGAGAGGAACAAGGACGUUAGUAACUGAACGUCCCCUGGCGGUAUCUAACCAGAAAGCCACGGCUAACUACGUG
rnacentral:rRNA from 1 species